rnacentral:rRNA from 1 species
GACGAACGCUGGCGGCGUGCUUAACACAUGCAAGUCGAGCGGUAAGGCCCUUUCGGGGGGUACACGAGCGGCGAACGGGUGAGUAACACGUGGGUGACCUGCCCUUAGCUCUGGGAUAAGCCUGGGAAACUGGGUCUAAUACCGGAUAUGACUCCAUGACGCAUGUUGUGGGGUGGAAAGCCUUGUGCGGCUAGGGAUGGGCCUGCGGCCUAUCAGCUUGUUGGUGGGGUGAUGGCCUACCAAGGCGACGACGGGUAGCCGGCCUGAGAGGGCGACCGGCCACACUGGGACUGAGACACGGCCCAGACUCCUACGGGAGGCAGCAGUGGGGAAUCUUGCGCAAUGGGCGAAAGCCUGACGCAGCGACGCCGCGUGGGGAUGACGGCCUCGG